rnacentral:rRNA from 1 species
AGUAACGGCGAGCGAACGGGGAAGAGCUCGUAGCCGAAUCCCGAGCCCUAGGGCUUGGGAAAUGUGGCGUUUGGGAGGCGACAUACCUCCAGGUGCGGGCGUGGGUGCAAGUCCCCAUGAGAGGGGCUACUUCCCGGAGCGGGUGCUAGGCCCUUACCACCCUUGCACGUACCUGGAGCGUCGUGUUCCCUGGAGUCGGGUUGCUUGGGAGUGCAGCCCAAAGUGGGUGGUAAACUCCACCUAAAGCUAAAUAUGACCGAGAGACCGAUAGCAAACAAGUACCGUGAGGGAAAGUUGAAAAGCACUUUGAAGAGAGAGUUCAAGAGUACGUGAAACCGUUUGGAGGUAAACGGGUGGGGCCUCGAAAGCCUAAGGUAGUGGCGGAUUCAGCUUCGGGUUGUCUCGCAUAACUUAGUGUCCGACCCCGCUAGGGGUGGGCCUGAGGGAGUGGGCUGCCCGGGGUGCAUUUCUGUUCCCUACCCAUCGGGACGUCGCAACCGGUUGGAAGGCCGUCGUGGGGUUUUCAAGUAAGGUGGCCGCCKUUUCCUUUGUGAGAUGGCGGUGUUAAGGCUUGAUCAUUCCUGAGGGGCCAUCCGACCGUGGUGGAGGAUAUCCUCGAUUACGUUCCCGCCUAAUGCGACCUGCUCUGGGCCAUGGGCCCGGUUGAGUGUGCCACCCUCUGGGUGAGCACUCGCCGGUGUCCAGGAUCCCUUUUGCAGCGUUGCGGGGAGCUUGAGGUUGGCGACGAGUAGGUCGGUCUCCCACCCGACCCGUCUUGAAACACGGACCAAGGAGUCCAAUGCACGUGCGAGUUCCCGGGACUUGAAUAGGCCCGUGGGCGCAAUGAAAGUGAAGGAUUCCUUCGGGAGUCUGAGCUGGGAUCCCUUCUAGGGCGCACCAGCGGCCCGUUCGUGCUCGGUUUCGGGCGGACGGCGCUAGAGCACGUGCCUUGGGACCCGAAAGAUGGUGAACUAUGCCUGGGCAGGGUGAAGCCAGAGGAAACUCUGGUGGAGGCCCGUAGCGAUUCUGACGUGCAAAUCGAUCGUCAGACCUUGGUAUA